ACGGGUGAGUAAUACAUCGGAACGUGCCCUGUAGUGGGGGAUAACUAGUCGAAAGAUUAGCUAAUACCGCAUACGACCUGAGGGUGAAAGUGGGGGACCGCAAGGCCUCAUGCUAUAGGAGCGGCCGAUGUCUGAUUAGCUAGUUGGUGGGGUAAAGGCCCACCAAGGCGACGAUCAGUAGCUGGUCUGAGAGGACGAUCAGCCACACUGGGACUGAGACACGGCCCAGACUCCUACGGGAGGCAGCAGUGGGGAAUUUUGGACAAUGGGCGAAAGCCUGAUCCAGCAAUGCCGCGUGUGUGAAGAAGGCCUUCGGGUUGUAAAGCACUUUUGUCCGGAAAGAAAUGGCUCUGGUUAAUACCUGGGGUCGAUGACGGUACCGGAAGAAUAAGGACCGGCUAACUACGUGCCUGCAGCCGCGGUAAUACGUAGGGUCCAAGCGUUAAUCGGAAUUACUGGGCGUAAAGCGUGCGCAGGCGGUUGUGCAAGACCGAUGUGAAAUCCCCGAGCUUAACUUGGGAAUUGCAUUGGUGACUGCACGGCUAGAGUGUGUCAGAGGGGGGUAGAAUUCCACGUGUA
rnacentral:rRNA from 1 species